UACGUAGGGUGCAAGCGUUAAUCGGAAUUACUGGGCGUAAAGCGUGCGCAGGCGGUUGUGCAAGACAGAUGUGAAAUCCCCGGGCUUAACCUGGGAACUGCAUUUGUGACUGCAUAGCUGGAGUGCGGCAGAGGGGGAUGGAAUUCCGCGUGUAGCAGUGAAAUGCGUAGAUAUGCGGAGGAACACCGAUGGCGAAGGCAAUCCCCUGGGCCUGCACUGACGCUCAUGCACGAAAGCGUGGGGAGCAAACAGG
rnacentral:rRNA from 1 species